UUGCAAGGUAAAAGUUGAGAAACCAUAGGCUCAGUAAGCAUGAUGGCUAUGAUCCUGCAAAGCACCCAGUUGGCACUUAAACAGUGGCAAAGUAUCAACAUGAAGACUAUAACAAAAUGAAGGGUUGCUCAAAACUGCAAAAGCUGUGCCUAUUGCUGUAGAGUGGAAGAGAAAAAUAAAGAAAACCAAUCAAAACCAAUCAAAAAAGAAACCCUGAUGAAAUACAUAACCAUAUUGUAGAAGCAACUCCGAAAGAACAUCUUUUUGUUCCACAUCCAGCAGAAAUGUGUAAUGUUUGUAUUCUAUUAUUUGAACAUUGGGAAACUGUAAUGGUAGAAGAAAUAACCUGGAAGAAUGGGAAAAAGAUAACUAGGUCAAUGAUUAAAGAAAUCUGAGUUUUGGGCAAAAAUUCACUACAGCCACAACUAUCAAAAUUGGUUCUUACUUCCUCCAACGGACAUGGAUUUCUUCUCAGCUCAUCAAUUAAUGCUGAAAGAAUGACAGCCUUCCUAUGUAUGUAUAUUUAUCAAAGUGGAUCACAAAUGACAUACUUCAAAAUACCCAUGCACAAAUAUAUAUUAUGUGAGCAAAGUGCAAAACAAAGCCAAACAAAACAAAGCAAAACAAAGCCAAAGCCUGAAGAUGAUGAGUGAGAUCUCAUCGAAACAUUGCCUAAUUACUUCCAAUCUUACACGGGAAAAGACCCGAACAUACCAAACAUACAUACAUACAUACAUAUAUAUACAGGUUUAUAUAUAUAUACAGGUUUUGGUAUGUUCGGGUCUUUUCCCGUGUAAGAUUGGAUAUAUGUCGUGGCAUUUUCGGUCUUUUCCCCUGUAAGGUUGAGAGUAUCCUGGUGACGUUUCGACGAGGUCUCACUCAUCAUAUUCAGGCUGUCAGCUUUGCUCACAGAAGCAGGAAGCUGAAGACACCAGCCUGAAGAUGAUGAGUGAGACCUCAUUGAAAUGUUGCCAAGAUACUCUCAAACUUACAUGGGAAAAGACCUGAAAAUUCCAAGACCUACAUACCUAUACCUGUGAAAACCUACAAAAACAAACAAAUAUUCUAUUUUUUUGUGAGCUAUUAACCUAUAAAAUACAUACAAAAAUGCAUAACAAAACUGAAAGUCCCUUAAAAUUAUGUAUUAUAGUAAAUUUCAAUUCAUUUCUAAAAUAAUAAUAUUUUACUCAUAUAUGUGUUUAUAUACUAUAUAAUCUUUUUUGUAUGAUACCUACAUAUAUUGUUGUGACAAAAUAAAUAAAUAAAUAAAUGUGGUCCAACAGCAAUGCCAGCCCACUGAAGAUUUUCAUUAGUAAUGUAGAUUUAAAAAACUCAUGCAACCCUAUUUUUUAUGCUGUAUUACUAGCCACCCUGCAUGUACAUCCAGUGUACUGUCUACAAUUAUAUGAAAGUUUUUCCUUAAAGUUCUACAUAGUUGCAUAAAUUGCAAUUCCUUAGGUAUAUGCAUUUGCCCAAACCCACAAUAGGUUAAAAAUCCCUCCCAGAGUUCAAAACUUUUUUCCUCAUUCUUUUCCAUUCUACAAAUCUAUCCCUGGUUCCUCAGAACUAAAGCUAACUUCCAUUCUCAAAUCUCAUCCAAGCAACACUUCUUCUACAUUGUCCUGCUGGUCUCCAAUCCUCCCUCACCUGAGACAUAUCAAAGAGCAGCUAUGUUUAUCUGCUGCAAGAGAAAAAAAAUGCUUUUCAAAAGCAGCAGCACAAACUGACGCAAUUCACACGCGUGAAUGAUUUUGCAACUUCAAUAUUUUUUUUACACCCUUUAUCUGUCAAUAGAAGCAUCGCCUAAAGCGCUCUCCCCGUUUCCUUUCUUCCAACUUGCAUUUCUCAUUUGAAACGUGCCCCCGUAUCCAUCCAUCCAUCCAUCCGGUUGAAAAGCUGGAGCCACAAUAUGGGAUAUGGUCAUUCUGUGAUGUCUCACAAGGCUCUCCUCUCUGGGUAACCGGAGCACCGAUGUCCCUUAGUAAGAUUUAAGCCCCCAAGCCGGCCGUUUCCCCCCGGCUGUGGCCCGCGUCAUCGGC